GAUGAACGCUAGCUACAGGCUUAACACAUGCAAGUCGAGGGGAAACGACAUUGGAAGCUUGCUUCCUUUGGGCGUCGACCGGCGCACGGGUGAGUAACGCGUAUCCAACCUUCCCGCAAGUAAGGGAUAACCCGUAGAAAUGCGGCCUAAUACCUUAUGUUUUCCUUAGAGGGCAUCUGAUGAGGAACAAAGAUCCGUCGCUUGCGGAUGGGGAUGCGUCUGAUUAGGUAGUAGGCGGGGCAACGGCCCACCUAGCCGACGAUCAGUAGGGGUUCUGAGAGGAAGGUCCCCCACAUUGGAACUGAGACACGGUCCAAACUCCUACGGGAGGCAGCAGUGAGGAAUAUUGGUCAAUGGGGCGCGAGCCCUGAACCCAGCCCAAAGUAGCGUGCGGGAAGAAGGCCCUAUGGGUUGUAAACCGCUUUUACCGGGGGAUAAAGUGAGCCUCGUGAGGCUUUUUGCAUGUACCUUAUGAAUAAGGACCGGCUAAUUCCGUGCCAGCAGCC
rnacentral:rRNA from 1 species